CUACGGGCGGCAGCAGUAAGGAAUAUUGGGCAAUGGACGCAAGUCUGACCCAGCCAUGCCGCGUGCAGGAUGACAGCCCUACGGGUUGUAAACUGCUUUUAUACGGGAAAAAUUCUUCCGACGUGUCGGAAGUUGAUGGUACUGUAUGAAUAAGCAUCGGCUAACUCCGUGCCAGCAGCCGCGGUAAUACGGAGGAUGCAAGCGUUAUCCGGAUUUAUUGGGUUUAAAGGGUGCGUAGGCGGAAUGAUAAGUCAGUGGUGAAAUCCUACGGCUCAACCGUAGAACUGCCAUUGAUACUGUCGUUCUUGAGUACAGUUGUAGUGGGCGGAAUAUGUCAUGUAGCGGUGAAAUGCAUAGAUAUGACAUAGAACACCGAUCGCGAAGGCAGCUCACUAAGCUGUAACUGACGCUGAGGCACGAAAGCGUGGGGAACAAACAGGAUUAGAUACCCCUGUAGUC
rnacentral:rRNA from 1 species